ACAGGGGUGGUUCAGUGGUAGAAUUCUUGCCUUCCAUGUAUGAGACCUGGUUCAACUGCCAGCCAGUGCA
rnacentral:tRNA from 1 species